rnacentral:lncRNA from 1 species
AAAGAUACAACAUGGGUCAGAAUAAAAAGUCCCAUCUUGGUGGAGACUCAUAAGGUACCCUAAGAUCUUUAAUAUCAUAAUUCUCUCUCUCUCUUUUUUUUUUUUUUUUUUGAUUUUUAAAAUAACAGAAGAAAGUCAUUGGAGUACACAAUUAAAGAAAAAAAGAAAUUGAUGUGGCUUGGUUCCAAUAUAAAUUAGGGAAUAGAGAUUUACUCUAUAAAUGGGAAGAGAAAUAUACAAGAUCUGAUUAUCUAUUUAGCUUGCUUUCUCCCUGCUGCCUUUUCUGAGAAAACUGGUUAUUCAAGUAUUAUUACCUCAAGCAAUCCAAGGGCUAGCUCUCAAACUCAGUUGGGACUAAAGGACAAAGAGGGAUCUUGCCCUUUAGAAGUGGAAAAUAAACAGUAGUGAUGAUCAAGGCAGAUUUGCCUCAUGAAUGACAAGUGGCCACCUGAACCAUUGAUUCACUGUCAGUUAUAGUUGGAAAACACGGCCCUGGAUGUUCCCAACUGUACAGGCCUCCAUGUGUCUGUGUUCCCUAUGCUAUAAUCUAUUUCUCACAUGAUAGACAUUUGUGACAGGCUCUGCUUUGGUUUCUGGAAUUCUAAAUCUGGUGCAUGGUCUGUUUAGUAAGCAGACUAGAUUCUAGUGUACCUAAGGGUAUCUGAUACCUGGUUUAUGCAAAUUUUAAAAACCAGAUUUUUGUUUCUUUGUCUUUUUCCUUCUUCUGUUUCCUGAGAAACUUUCUUUCUUUCUUCUUUGUUAAAGGGGCUAUCUGGUCCAUUGGUGACUCUGGAAAGAAAUGUUUCUGUGCCCUAGCAUGGAUUCUUGCUCUAGCCAAUACAUUAAGCACUAACAAAAUGAGUCGUAAAAACAUUAUUGGGUAGAAAUCUAAUUCAAAAAGCUUUCAAAAUAUCAAAGGAGGCAUUCCUGAGUUGGUGGACAUAGUGCUCUUUGUCCUACUCAUUUAAGUGCUACAUUGGAUUAGAAAGCAAGUAAAUAGUUCUCUAAAAUAUAAUUUUCUUAAUUCUUUACAAUUUUUUUUUCAUUUGUAGGGUCUACUCUACUGAGUAGUUCUUAAAAUAGGAAAAUAUAUUAAAUUUGCAUAAAAGUCUCCUUUUUCAACCUUCUGCUUUCACUGGGCUUUUGUCUAUGCCUUUCUUAGUGAUAUUGAGAUUUUGUAUAUGUAAAAUUUCUACCUUGCUUCAACUGAAUUAUACCUUUGGAAGUACAGAUAUGAUAUUAAGGAUUGCUUGGGGCUAUGAUAAUCAUCAAUAAUCUAACUUUUUGAAAACUGGCAAAUGGUGAAUCUAAAUGCGAUCUAUAAAAUCUUUGUUUUGUCUUUUUACGUAAGUUUAUGUAUAUAUGUGUAUACUGUAUAUUAUGUGUACAUGGCACCAAAUUGGCUUAUAAACAAAGGAGCACUCAUAAAU